rnacentral:rRNA from 1 species
AUGAAAGGAGGCAACGCGAUGGGCCCUGAUUGUAUCCCCAUUGAGGUGUGGAAAGGUCUCGGGGACAUAGCGAUAGUAUGGCUAACCAAGCUUUUCAACCUCAUUUUUCGGGCAAACAAGAUGCCAGAAGAACGGAGAUGGAGUAUAUUAGUACCAAUCUUCAAGAACAAGGGGGAUGUUCAGAGUUGUACUAAUUACCGUGGAAUUAAGCUGAUGAGCCAUACAAUGAAACUAUGGGAGAGAGUCAUUGAGCACCGCUUAAGAAGAAUGACAAGCGUGACCAAAAAUCAGUUUGGUUUCAUGCCUGGGAGGUCUACCAUGGAAGCCAUUUUCUUGGUAUGA